ensembl:lncRNA
AUGCUGCGUUUCUUCUACCCAGAAUGCUGCAGUGAGAGGAAGUGGUCUCUGCUUACGCUGAAGCUCAGGGCUGUCCACCCAAUCAGUAUAACAGCGCAGGCAGAGAGGACGAGGAGCGCAGACGGGAGAGAACAGACAGCGAAGAUGGUGACGCGGAGCGCUCUGCGCGACAAGACCUCCUUAAAACCAAGAAUAUUAUCGACGAGGAUGGCGUCGACCCGUCCAGAUGAAAGAGCAGGUCGCAACGGUGGGAACAUGGAAAACUGUGAAGAUUUCAACUGACGGCAACGAAGAGAAACAAGGAUUUAACUGUCUACGCAUUUUAAAUUCGCUUUGUCCUUGAGAGGACAUAAUGUCCUUGUAACACUGAAAGCAGAAAAAAUAAAUUAAAUUUAAACAUUGUUGUAAUAAUGCA